rnacentral:rRNA from 1 species
CUCUACGGCCAUACCACCCUGAACACGCCUGAUCCCAUCUGAUCUCAGAAGCUAAGCAGGGUUGGGCCUGGUUAGUGCUUGGAUGGGAGACCACCUAGGAAGACCAGGUACUGUAGGCG